AGAGUUUGAUCCUGGCUCAGGACGAACGCUGGCGGCGUGCUUAACACAUGCAAGUCGAACGGAAAGGUCUCUUCGGAGACACUCGAGUGGCGAACGGGUGAGUAACACGUGGGUAAUCUGCCCUGCACUUCGGGAUAAGCCUGGGAAACUGGGUCUAAUACCGGAUAGGACCUCAAGACGCAUGUCUUUUGGUGCAAAGC
rnacentral:rRNA from 1 species